UGCUGGCAGUGCUGUGGUAGUG
rnacentral:miRNA from 1 species